rnacentral:rRNA from 1 species
AGCAGCCGCGGUAAUUCCAGCUCCAAUAGCGUAUAUUAAAGUUGUUGCAGUUAAAAAGCUCGUAGUUGAAUUUUAGGCCUGGCCGGGCGGUCCGUCUUUGGCGAGUACUGUCCUGUGUCGGGUCAUCCUUCUGGUGAACCAGUAUGUCCUUUAUUGGGUGUGCCCGGGAGAGCCAGGACCAUUACCUUGAAAAAAUUAGAGUGUUUAAAGCGGGCAUUUGCUUGAAUAGAUUAGCAUGGAAUAAUAGAAUAGGACGUUGUGGUUCUAUUUUGUUGGUUUCUAGGACCACCGUAAUGAUUAAUAGGGAUAGUUAGGGGCAUUAGUAUUCAAUUGUCAGAGGUGAAAUUCUUGGAUUUAUUGAAGACUAACUAUUGCGAAAGCAUUUGCCAAGGAUGUUUUCGUUAAUCAAGAACGAAAGUUAGGGGGAUCGAAGACGAUCAGAUACCGUCGUAGUCUUAACCAUAAACUAUGCCGACUAGGAAUCGGGCGACGUUAUUUUCAUGACUCGCUCGGCGCCUUA